rnacentral:rRNA from 1 species
UACGAAGGGGGCUAGCGUUGCUCGGAAUCACUGGGCGUAAAGCGCACGUAGGCGGCUUGGUAUGUCGGGUGUGAAAUCCCCGGGCUCAACCUGGGAACUGCAUCCGAAACUGCCUUGCUCGAGUAUGGGAGAGGGAAGUGGAAUUUCCGGUGUAGCGGUGAAAUGCGUAGAUAUCGGAAGGAACAUCAGUGGCGAAGGCGACUUCCUGGACCAAUACUGACGCUCAGGUGCGAAAGCGUGGGGAGCAAACAGG